AUUGAACGCUGGCGGCAUGCCUUACACAUGCAAGUCGAACGGCAGCACGGGUGCUUGCACCUGGUGGCGAGUGGCGUACGGGUGAGUAAUAUAUCGGAACGUACCUUAUUGUGGGGGAUAACGCAGCGAAAGCUGUGCUAAUACCGUAUAAUCCCUAAGGGGGAAAGCGGGGGACCGUAAGGCCUCGCGCAAUUAGAGCGGCCGAUACCUGAUUAGCUAGUUGGUGAGGUAAAGGCUCACCAAGGCAACGAUCAGUAGCUGGUCUGAGAGGACGAUCAGCCACACUGGGACUGAGACACGGCCCAGACUCCUACGGGAGGCAGCAGUGGGGAAUUUUGGACAAUGGGGGCAACCCUGAUCCAGCAAUGCCGCAUGAGUGAAGAAGGCCUUCGGGUUGUAAAGCUCUUUUGUCAGGGAAGAAACAGCAGCUCUAACACAGUUUGCGAAUGACGGUACCUGAAGAAUAAGCACCGGCUAACUACGCGCCAGCCGCCGCCGUAA
rnacentral:rRNA from 1 species